rnacentral:rRNA from 1 species
AGAGUUUGAUCAUGGCUCAGGACGAACGCUGGCGGCGUGCUUAACACAUGCAAGUCGAGCGAGAGAAGUUCCUUCGGGAAGGACUCUAGCGGCGGACGGGUGAGUAACACGUGGGUAACCUGCCUCAUAGAGGGGAAUAGCCUUCCGAAAGGAAGAUUAAUACCGCAUAAGAUUGUAGUACCGCAUGGUACAGCAAUUAAAGGAGCAAUCCGCUAUGAGAUGGACCCGCGUCGCAUUAGCUAGUUGGUGAGGUAACGGCUCACCAAGGCGACGAUGCGUAGCCGACCUGAGAGGGUGAUCGGCCACAUUGGGACUGAGACACGGCCCAGACUCCUACGGGAGGCAGCAGUGGGGAAUAUUGCACAAUGGGGGAAACCCUGAUGCAGCAACGCCGCGUGAGUGAUGACGGUCUUCGGAUUGUAAAACUCUGUCUUCAGGGACGAUAAUGACGGUACCUGAGGAGGAAGCCACGGCUAACUACGUGCCAGCAGCCGCGGUAAUACGUAGGUGGCAAGCGUUGUCCGGAUUUACUGGGCGUAAAGGGAGCGUAGGUGGAUAUUUAAGUGGGAUGUGAAAUACUCGGGCUUAACCUGAGUGCUGCAUUCCAAACUGGAUAUCUAGAGUGCAGGAGAGGAAAGUAGAAUUCCUAGUGUAGCGGUGAAAUGCGUAGAGAUUAGGAAGAAUACCAGUGGCGAAGGCGACUUUCUGGACUGUAACUGACACUGAGGCUCGAAAGCGUGGGGAGCAAACAGGAUUAGAUACCCUAGUAGUCC